rnacentral:misc_RNA from 1 species
ACCCUUGGGUGAAACGACAGGUGACGGCGUGUUGUGUCGGGUGGGCUAUUGUGAAAGUAGGCCUAUGACUUCUAAGAAAAAGUCUAAGGACUAAACCGGAGCCACCCUAUGCCCAGUCUGAGUGUAUCCUUCAUAAUGGAUACAAGUGUU